rnacentral:rRNA from 1 species
CCUACGGGAGGCUGCAGUGGGGAAUAUUGGACAAUGGGCGAAAGCCUGAUCCAGCCAUGCCGCGUGUGUGAAGAAGGCCUUCGGGUUGUAAAGCACUUUCAGUGGGGAAGAAAGCCUUGGGGCUAAUACCCUCGAGGAAGGACAUCACCCACAGAAGAAGCACCGGCUAACUCCGUGCCAGCAGCCGCGGUAAUACGGAGGGUGCGAGCGUUAAUCGGAAUUACUGGGCGUAAAGCGCGCGUAGGCGGUCUGAUAAGCCGGUUGUGAAAGCCCCGGGCUCAACCUAGGAACGGCAUCCGGAACUGUCAGGCUAGAGUGCAGGAGAGGAAGGUAGAAUUCCCGGUGUAGCGGUGAAAUGCGUAGAGAUCGGGAGGAAUACCAGUGGCGAAGGCGGCCUUCUGGACUGACACUGACGCUGAGGUGCGAAAGCGUGGGUAGCAAACAGGAUUAGAUACCCGGGUAGUC